AUCCAAGUGAGGAUUCUUAGACCAUAUGAAGUGUCGUAUGACAAUGUAAACAAUAACCGCUUCCCUCCACUGCAAGUGUCCACCUUCGGCCAUAACCUUUGUGGUUUGGUUUGGGCUAAAAUCUCCUUUUGCACCUGGUUUUGUUCAGCUGUGUGCAUGACUUUAACCGGUUCUCUGAGCGGU
rfam:Triticum aestivum genome assembly, contig: Triticum_aestivum_CS42_TGACv1_scaffold_195704_3AL